GCUGCUCAUGGAGCCCCGGCGCGAGUGGGUGAGCUCCUUCUCCUUGCGCUGCACCACGGCCACGUCUUUGCGCCGGUGAUCACAGACGCAGUACACGGUGAUGCCCGAGAAGACGGCCCCCAUGACGAAAGCCAGGAUGACUGCAAUGGCCAAGAGGGUGACAGGAACCAGCUGGUCGUGGCCUUUGAGGGUCCUCCUCCCUUCAACUGUGACAUCACAGUUGGUUGCUGUGGAAAUGAUUGUCCUGUGACAAAGGAUUGUGACUUAAGUAGAAGCAGCAAAUAUCUCUUAAGAAAUAAAGAUUCUGUGAUCCAACAAAUACCCUUGGUAAUAAAAGGCAGUCAAGGCAAUUCACCAUAAGGAAAGAGUGUACAAGACAUUGCCUCAAGACCUGAAAAUGAAUGAGCAUCAUCCCUUAAAGUGUUAACACGGAAGCAUCAAUAAGUACCUUUCCUUUCGUAAAGGAAAUAAGAGAGAACAUAGCUUAGGCAGUGAUUUUUGUUCAUAAGAGUAUCUCAUAGUUUAAUUAUUCUAUCUGUUUAAGAAAUUACCUGGAAGUUAAAUUGGUCUUGGUAUGAUUGAUGAAUGCUGGGGAGGUUGCUGGUUCAAUUCGUUUCAAGAUCUUAAUUUCUCAAAAUCUGAUGAAGACUAUUCAAUUAUAGGAAAUGAUCGCAAAGUAUCAUAUUGGAAAAAAGCAGAUGCUAAGUGCGGUUUUUUCCUCAAGGCAGUCUCAACUAGGUGACAUUUGCCUUCUGAGCAAUUUUUCUUCUAGUCUUUGGUGUUCAAUAUUUUGGUUUCAAUCAUGGAUGAGGAAACAUUAAAGGUGGAUGAAUUCUGUGGGCUCAUCUACUCCACAC
rnacentral:antisense_RNA from 1 species